UUUAUAUGAGAGUUUGAUCCUGGCUCAGGAUGAACGCUGGCGGCGUGCCUAAUACAUGCAAGUCGAACGAGUUCUCGUUGAUGAUCGGUGCUUGCACCGAGAUUCAACAUGGAACGAGUGGCGGACGGGUGAGUAACACGUGGGUAACCUGCCCUUAAGUGGGGGAUAACAUUUGGAAACAGAUGCUAAUACCGCAUAGAUCCAAGAACCGCAUGGUUCUUGGCUGAAAGAUGGCGUAAGCUAUCGCUUUUGGAUGGACCCGCGGCGUAUUAGCUAGUUGGUGAGGUAAUGGCUCACCAAGGCGAUGAUACGUAGCCGAACUGAGAGGUUGAUCGGCCACAUUGGGCUGAGACACGGCCCAAACUCCUACGGGAGGCAGCAGUAGGGAAUCUUCCACAAUGGACGCAAGUCUGAUGGAGCAACGCCGCGUGAGUGAAGAAGGCUUUCGGGUCGUAAAACUCUGUUGUUGGAGAAGAAUGGUCGGCAGACAGAGGCUGGAAUUGAAACCGCCGGGCCGCGGUAUUUGGUUUCGAUUAUGAUUAUCAGCCGGUUGAAAACUUGAUAAAGGAGGGUAGGCCAUGAUCGAUUAGGCAUUGUACGG
rnacentral:rRNA from 2 species